rnacentral:lncRNA from 1 species
GCUUUAUUAAAUGAAGAAAGAAGGAUACAAUUAGAAUGUCACCAUUUUGGGACCCCUAAUGGAUUAUUGGCUAUAGGUAUUGAGGAUCAAUAGCUGCUAACACCACAGAAAAAGAGACAAACAGAAAAUAAUAGGCUUCAAAUAGAACACACCAUCUUGCCAAAUUCAUUAAAUUUAUCUGGUCAAAAAAACUUAAAACUUGAUUUUGAUCAAGCCUGUACAUUACUACAAUUUACAGAAAAUACAGAGGACAACAGAACAUCUUAGACUAUAGCACAUGCUGCAGACAGCAAAACCCAUGCUGUGUGCAACUCUACAGGACAAACAACUUCAUUUUCUUUAACAAGUGAGUUGGAAGAGAAAACAGGAGAGGGUACCCAUAUAUUAAAAGAAACUUAGGAGACAUAUCAACCCAUCACAAUGUGUUUUCUUCCUUGGAUCUUGAUUCAAAUAAGUUAAAAAACAAAAUGAACAAAAAAAAGUUUAUGACAUCUUUGAGAAAACUGGAAAAUUGAUAUUAAGGAAUUACUGUUAAUUGUUUAGGUAUGAAAAUAGUAUUAUGUUUACAUUUUUAAAAUUCAUAUCUUUUACAGCAAAUAUUGAAAUAUUUACAUUUGAAAGACUAUGCUAGCUCAGAUAUGCUUUAAAAUUAUAUAUAUAUAAAAGCAUGGGAUAUGAGUAGAGUUGUAAGUGAAACAAGAUUGGCCAUAAUCUGAUAAUGUUGAAGCUGGGUGACAGGUUUGUGGGGAUUUAUUAGAAGUAGUACAAUUGUACUUUUAUAUAUGCUUAAACUUUUUUCAUAGUACAGAGUGAAGAAAAAAAGAAAAAGAAAAGAAUUUAUGGCUUUUAGUUGGUAGUAUUUAAAAAAAGAAAAAAGCAGCAAUGUAAAAACCCUCUAAGGCCAGUUACAAAAUAAUUCAAUACCCUUGCAGUGAAAUGUAUGUCAGCUACAUAUAGGUAUUAUAUGUAACUUGAAAAGAUAUCCAUAAUGUAAUAUUAAACUAAAAAACAAGUGGUAAACAAUAUGUACUGUAUAAUGACAUUUUAGCAUGCAUGCGUGCUUUCCCAGUAAGCAUGCACCUACUAAAGUUUUAUGUUUCCUACACUCAUUUAAAAAAUGUACAUUUAAAAAUUUACUAAUUGCAUGUAGCCUUUUAGUAGUUUUCUAUUGGCUUCAAUAUAGAAAAACAUUCUCCUGUCUUUGCGAUAAGAGGUCUGGGUUAAGGAAGUUGGCAGUAUUAGAAGGGAGAAACUGAACCAUGCAAGGUAACAUGAGUAGCAGGAUUUUUUAAAAAAAACAAUUUUAAGGCAAAGAAGUGAAGAAAGAAAAGAAUCAUAAUCUAGGCUAAAGUGGUAUGCUUAGAGGAACAGGUUAAAAGUGGAAUAGGCAAUAGAGAUUAAAUGAAAGGUAUGUAGAGAUUUUAGUGACAAGGUUCAUUUGGAAAAAUGCAAAAAGACACCAACAUUUCCUAACUUCUUCUUUGCUAUCUCCUCCUCAGCGUUCUCCUUAACAGUGUGAAACUCCCAACAUUCAGAGCUGAGUUGACCCUUUACUGGCUGGAGCCGGACUCCAGAUCAUUCAGCUUCCUCUCCAAGUUCUUCAGUACAGACAGCCUCUUUCCUAUACUCUGGGAUGCUCCUAUACCCAGGCCUGGAGUUCUUGGGCAGGAUGGUCAGGAUCAGUAGUUCCAAGACGUGUUCCUUGCUGUGUAUCACUGGUCUCCACCACUGAUGGCAAAGAACCUGAAGCUGGACCCUUGAGGCCCAAGUAAAUACCCACCAUAUCCUCUCUGAAGAACUCCUGACCAGAAGCUCCCUUUCUGUGCGGGCUAGAUUCUUUAACUAUUUGACACUUCUUUCGUUCUUCUGCAGUUGGUCUGAAUGCAUUCCUGGGUGAAACAGCUCAGAAGACUGGCUCACUGCAGCAGUGCGUAUGCUUCAGGCUGAUGGUAAGGCAUAACACAUCAUUGUUGAGAUCAGCUCCAAACUGGAACAUAUUU